GAUUAACGCUGGCGGCGUGCAUAACACAUUCAAGUCGAACGGUUGUAGCGAUACAACAGUGGCGGACGGGUGAGUAACGCGUGAGCAAUCUACCUUCCAGUGCGGAAUAACAACCGGAGACAGUUGCUAAUACCGCAUGAAACAGCAGCACCGCAUGGUGCAACUGUCAAAGGCUUGCUGCUGGAAGAUGAGCUUGCGUCUGAUUAGAUAGUUGGUGAGGUAGUGGAUCACCAAGUCGACGAUCAGUAGCCGGACUGAGAGGUUGAACGGCCACAGUGGAACUGAGAUACGGUCCAGACUCCUACGGGAGGCAGCAGUGGGGAAUAUUGGGCAAUGGGCGAAAGCCUGACCCAGCGACGCCGCGUGAGGGAAGAAGAUCUUCGGAUUGUAAACCUUAGUCAACAGGGAAGAAGAAAGUGACGGUACCUGUGGAGGAAGCCACGGCUAACUACGUGCCAGCCGCCGCGGUAAAAC
rnacentral:rRNA from 1 species